rnacentral:lncRNA from 1 species
UGUGUCAGCAAUAUUGGCAAGUCAGAAGUCAAUUUUAGUCCAUUGUAGCGUCCACCCCUGUAAACAAUUUGCAUGACGCUGGACAAGUGAAGGAGAUCCUCAUUUCAAACAAGAGCAUUAGUUGGCACAUUUCUCCACCUCAGUUACCUUUUCUUCUAAAGGGAGGCACAGUAACAGGGGAACGACGAUUAAGGAGUUGGGCAAACCAAAUUAUGAUCUCCCUAGUUGAGUGGUCGGGUGGUCUGUUCAAGGCUUGACGCUUCUGGUGAGGCGCCGGGGCCGGACGCUUCUGCUGAGGCGCUAUUGCUGAGGCGCCGGGGCCGGAUGCUAUUGCUGAGGCGCCGGGGCCGGACGCUUCUGCUGAGGCGCUUCUCCUGAGGCUUCUGCUGAGGCGCCGGACGCUUCUGCUGAGGCGCCGGACGCUUCUGCUGAGGCGCCGGACGCUUCUGCUGAGGCGCCGGACGCUUCUGCUGAGGCGCCGGACGCUUCUGCUGAGGCGCCGGACGCUUCUGCUGAGGCGCCGGGGCCGGACUUCACACUUGACGGGGCAUUGUGGCCAGUAGAUUCUGCUGACGUGGCAUUGUGGCCAGUAGCUUCUGCUGACGUGGCAUUGUGGCCAGUAGCUUCUGCUGACGUGGCAUUGUGGCCAGUAGCUUCUGCUG